rnacentral:misc_RNA from 1 species
GGAACUUAAAAAAAAAAAAAAAAGAGUUACAUCAAGCACGCAUAUUCCGAGUACUCAAAACCACUCCCCACGAAGAACUCUCAGAACCCGUCCAUGUGGAGAAUCAGGAUCACCACGCAUAGCAUUCUCUCUCCAUAUCUUUCGAGCUCUUUCCAACGCUUCCUCAGCCGUGUCAAGCUGUUCCGGCCGCCACCCAAUUACGUCUCUACCCAUUCCACUAGCAUCUACAGUGCUAUCAGAUGCCCUUCUUAUUGGCGUCCUUGUAUCUGCAAACUUAAUCUCCGAUAAAGGGGACGCCUUGUGAUGCCUAUAGUAAUCCUUAUCGUCUUCUUGUACUUGCGUUCCCUUCUCCAUCGGCCAUGGGGUCCCAUCAAGCCCCGCACAGUUUAUUUCUUCGAGGGUUACCGGUGAGUUCUGACGUUUUUGUUGAAUCUGUGGUUCUACAGGAUGGUUCACUCCAAUGCUUUCAAGCCUAGGAGAAGAAACAUACGGUGGUUUCGGUGGUGCCAAUGGUUCGGUUUCUUUACUGGGUUUGUAUUCAACUUCAGUUUCCGUUUCUCUCUUGGCUGGUUCAGGCUCGUAUAGAUUUCUUGUUUCCUGCAAUAUCAAACGCUCUAGGAUUUCAGGUCGGCUCCUUCAGAUAAUAAGAAUGAAAGAGAGAGAAGGAGAGUCUCAUUUUGAAAUUUCGUGAGAGAGUGAGUCUUACUUCUGGUUUCCCAGAGAGAACGGCAGGUUUCACUUCACGAUCACGAUCCCCGGAGUAAACGGCAGGGUCAUCGGCUCGACCAGAAGAAAUAGCGGCAAAUCCUCGUUGUUGAACUUGAUUGUGGGCUAAAGAUAGCACCCUAUAAAAUCUUGUUGCGAUGGCAGCUAGUCUUGUUUGAUCCAUUUUGCUUUCUGUUGCUUGAAUACUUCAGUUACUUUCAAAUUAGUUGAGGAAUGCAGGGCGAAGUGCAGCUCAACCGAAGAAGCGAAGAAGAGAGUAGAGGGAGGACAUUCUAGAGAAAAGGAGAUCAGUCACGAGAACACGUGUCGAUGCAACUGACGUGGCAACAGUAUCUCAUGCCUUAAUGUUUUGACGUGUCGUUUUCUGAUUCCUUCUUGCAUCUAUGUACGUGUCAUUUGGAGCUGAGAGAAGCACCUGGAUGCCUCGAGACGUUGCUUCCAGGAGGGAGGAGGGCCCUUGCACUAUGUUUGUGUUGGAAGGAAAGAAAUUAAUGAAAGAAAAAUUAAAAAAAAUAAUAAUUAGGAAAGAAAAUAAUUUUGUUAUUUAUGUUUGGGUAAGGGAAAAAAUAUUGUGAAAAAAGUUAUUUUUUUAAAUAAUAAAAUUAUAAUAUUACCCCUAGAUAUUCAAAAAGAACCUAGAAAAUAUAAGAAUAUUUUUCUAAUUUUAAACAUUUUCCUCCCACUUUCCCCCCGUUUUGGAGAGAAAAUGGGAGUGGAAUCUAACUCUUAUUUUCCUUUCAAAAUUUUAUUUCCUCCUUAUUUUCCUCUUUAACCAAAUAUAAGUGAGUGGAAAAUAAGGCUAUUUUCCUCUCAAAUUUUCCUUCCUCCCUUAUUUUUCUUCAAUCCAAACACUGUUUAAGGGUAUGUUUGGGUAUUUAAUCUAAUAAUCUGGAUUCUUUAGUCUUUACAUUCUAGUCUGAUGAUUUUAUUCUGCGGCUUCCAGAAAUUUAUAAAUUAACUGCAUCUGCUGGUAUAAUCAGCAAAAGCAAGGAGAAAAGAAUACUUUAGGAAAUGAAUUGGAAUCCAGAUUUUCCCUCCUAUUCUUUAAAAUUCAGUUGAAAGAAAUUUGACUCAUGAAAAGUUGCUUGUGAGUUUGAAAUAUGUUUUCUAGAUUUUUCUAUUCUUUUUUUCCCUUUUACAUAUCAAUAAACAUGUAUGCAUUACAUUUAUGGCAUAACUUAAGGUUACUUUCAUUUUGUAAUAUUUGUUGCUUAAUGUUUAGUAGUGGGUGCAUACACAUAGUGAUAGUGUUCAUGUUCAUGUGUGUACUGCUUCACCAUUGCAUGUCUUUAUUUGCUUGAGAUAUGACAAAGACCUAUUUGCUUGUUAAAUCACUACCUAUUUCUGGGUAUUUUUUGAUGAAUCCUUGAUCUUUCUUUGCCUUCUUCUAGUUUCUACUCUUUAGUCAUUCCAUGGUUAUGAUAUCGUCUCACCACGCAAUCAGUUAUGAUGAAGUAGUUCCAAGAAAACUUGAAAAGAAAACUACCAACGUAACAAUUUAGUUAAGAAAUUAUGCUGCAUGCAUGUCCUCUUUUGUCCACAGUUUUCUUCACUACCAUGUGCAUUUCUCUGUUAGGUGUACCGUCUUCUUAUUAAACAGAAAAGGUAAAGUUCAAUUCCAUAAGUGCAUAAU